rnacentral:rRNA from 1 species
GGGUUGUGAGGUUAAGCGACUAAGCGUACACGGUGGAUGCCCUGGCAGUCAGAGGCGAUGAAGGACGUGCUAAUCUGCGAAAAGCGUCGGUAAGGUGAUAUGAACCGUUAUAACCGGCGAUGUCCGAAUGGGGAAACCCAGUGCAAUUCGUUGCACUAUCGUUAACUGAAUACAUAGGUUAACGAGGCGAACCGGGGGAACUGAAACAUCUAAGUACCCCGAGGAAAAGAAAUCAACCGAGAUUCCCCCAGUAGCGGCGAGCGAACGGGGAGCAGCCCAGAGUCUGAAUCAGCUUGUGUGUUAGUGGAACGGUCUGGAAAGUCCGACGGUACAGGGUGAUAGUCCCGUACACCAAAAUGCACAGGCUGUGAACUCGAAGAGUAGGGCGGGACACGUGGUAUCCUGUCUGAAUAUGGGGGGACCAUCCUCCAAGGCUAAAUACUCCUGACUGACCGAUAGUGAACCAGUACCGUGAGGGAAAGGCGAAAAGAACCCCGGCGAGGGGAGUGAAAAAGAACCUGAAACCGUGUACGUACAAGCAGUGGGAGCACCUUCGGGUGUGACUGCGUACCUUUUGUAUAAUGGGUCAGCGACUUAUAUUCUGUAGCAAGGUUAACCGUAUAGGGGAGCCGCAGGGAAACCGAGUCUUAACUGGGCGUUAAGUUGCAGGGUAUAGACCCGAAACCCGGUGAUCUAGCCAUGGGCAGGUUGAAGGUUGGGUAACACUAACUGGAGGACCGAACCGACUAAUGUUGAAAAAUUAGCGGAUGACUUGUGGCUGGGGGUGAAAGGCCAAUCAAACCGGGAGAUAGCUGGUUCUCCCCGAAAGCUAUUUAGGUAGCGCCUCGUGAACUCAUCUUCGGGGGUAGAGCACUGUUUCGGCUAGGGGGUCAUCCCGACUUACCAACCCGAUGCAAACUACGAAUACCGAAGAAUGUUAUCACGGGAGACACACGGCGGGUGCUAACGUCCGUCGUGAAGAGGGAAACAACCCAGACCGCCAGCUAAGGUCCCAAAGUCAUGGUUAAGUGGGAAACGAUGUGGGAAGGCACAGACAGCCAGGAUGUUGGCUUAGAAGCAGCCAUCAUUUAAAGAAAGCGUAAUAGCUCACUGGUCGAGUCGGCCUGCGCGGAAGAUGUAACGGGGCUAAACCAUGCACCGAAGCUGCGGCAGCGACACUAUGUGUUGUUGGGUAGGGGAGCGUUCUGUAAGCCUGCGAAGGUGUGCUGUGAGGCAUGCUGGAGGUAUCAGAAGUGCGAAUGCUGACAUAAGUAACGAUAAAGCGGGUGAAAAGCCCGCUCGCCGGAAGACCAAGGGUUCCUGUCCAACGUUAAUCGGGGCAGGGUGAGUCGACCCCUAAGGCGAGGCCGAAAGGCGUAGUCGAUGGGAAACAGGUUAAUAUUCCUGUACUUGGUGUUACUGCGAAGGGGGGACGGAGAAGGCUAUGUUAGCCGGGCGACGGUUGUCCCGGUUUAAGCAUGUAGGCUGGUUAUCCAGGCAAAUCCGGAUAAUCAAGGCUGAGGUGUGAUGACGAGGCACUACGGUGCUGAAGUAACAAAUGCCCUGCUUCCAGGAAAAGCCUCUAAGCAUCAGGUAACAUCAAAUCGUACCCCAAACCGACACAGGUGGUCAGGUAGAGAAUACCAAGGCGCUUGAGAGAACUCGGGUGAAGGAACUAGGCAAAAUGGUGCCGUAACUUCGGGAGAAGGCACGCUGGUGUGUAGGUGAAGUCCCUGCGGAUGGAGCUGAGACCAGUCGAAGAUACCAGCUGGCUGCAACUGUUUAUUAAAAACACAGCACUGUGCAAACACGAAAGUGGACGUAUACGGUGUGACGCCUGCCCGGUGCCGGAAGGUUAAUUGAUGGGGUUAUCCGUAAGGAGAAGCUCUUGAUCGAAGCCCCGGUAAACGGCGGCCGUAACUAUAACGGUCCUAAGGUAGCGAAAUUCCUUGUCGGGUAAGUUCCGACCUGCACGAAUGGCGUAAUGAUGGCCAGGCUGUCUCCACCCGAGACUCAGUGAAAUUGAACUCGCUGUGAAGAUGCAGUGUACCCGCGGCAAGACGGAAAGACCCCGUGAACCUUUACUAUAGCUUGACACUGAACAUUGAGCCUUGAUGUGUAGGAUAGGUGGGAGGCUUUGAAGCGUGGACGCCAGUCUGCGUGGAGCCAACCUUGAAAUACCACCCUUUAAUGUUUGAUGUUCUAACGUUGGCCCCUUAUCGGGGUUGCGGACAGUGUCUGGUGGGUAGUUUGACUGGGGCGGUCUCCUCCCAAAGCGUAACGGAGGAGCACGAAGGUUAGCUAAUCCUGGUCGGACAUCAGGAGGUUAGUGCAAUGGCAUAAGCUAGCUUGACUGCGAGCGUGACGGCGCGAGCAGGUGCGAAAGCAGGUCAUAGUGAUCCGGUGGUUCUGAAUGGAAGGGCCAUCGCUCAACGGAUAAAAGGUACUCCGGGGAUAACAGGCUGAUACCGCCCAAGAGUUCAUAUCGACGGCGGUGUUUGGCACCUCGAUGUCGGCUCAUCACAUCCUGGGGCUGAAGUAGGUCCCAAGGGUAUGGCUGUUCGCCAUUUAAAGUGGUACGCGAGCUGGGUUUAGAACGUCGUGAGACAGUUCGGUCCCUAUCUGCCGUGGGCGCUGGAGAAUUGAGGGGGGCUGCUCCUAGUACGAGAGGACCGGAGUGGACGCAUCACUGGUGUUCGGGUUGUCAUGCCAAUGGCACUGCCCGGUAGCUAAAUGCGGAAGAGAUAAGUGCUGAAAGCAUCUAAGCACGAAACUUGCCCCGAGAUGAGUUCUCCCUGAGACUUUAAGUCUCCUGAAGGAACGUUGAAGACGACGACGUUGAUAGGCCGGGUGUGUAAGCGCAGCGAUGCGUUGAGCUAACCGGUACUAAUGAACCGUGAGGCUUAACCUUACAACGCCGAAG